UGUGUGCGUGUGUGCGCACAUGCCUCCUCCGUGCUGCCCUUUGGGAUCUGUGCUCUGCUGGAUUGGGGAAGCGUGGCUGGGAAGUACGGUGCUGGCCCAGCUUGUGCAAAGCCCUGGUUUCUGACUGCAGUCUUGAAAAAGACGGAAAAAGUGGGAAAUUGGGAAGGGCAAUCUCUCCCUCUAUGCCUCAGAGCACAUGUCUGGGCGGGGCCGAGGCCGACGAGCUGGGCAGAUGCGAGGGUGGGUGGCAGGCACAGCCAAGGGCCAGAGCUCAAAGGCAGAGCUGGUCCCGCUGCAGCAGAGCUGGGCAAAGCUCGGGAAAGGCCACGGGCUCCCGCCGUUCGCGUUCCAAGUGCUCAAGCUUAAACGCAGGCGCUUUCUAAGUCCGAGUGCCAAGCCACUUCCAGUAAGUCUCAUUGUCAGCUACGAAAAUAACUGCUCUGGAAGCUGUCACAGCUAUGAUGCUGCGGGGCCAUGCCACAGGACCGCAGUGGCCUCUGUGCCCUGAGGGCUCAAGUCUCCUGGUCCAGCCUCAACUUCUUUGUUUUUUGAGACAAGGUUUCUCUAGCUGUCCUGGAACUCGAUCUGUAGACCAGGCUGGCCUUGAACUUACAGAGAUCCGCCUGCCUCUGCCUCCCGAGUGCUGGGACUAAAGGCGUGCCCCACCAACGCCCGGCGAUGUUGCCUGUCUUUACACAUGCACAUGUGGAAGUCGAAGGACUACUUCCGGCGUCUGUCCCCUCUUUCCACCAUGUGUGUCCUUGGGAUCAAACUUAGGUCAUCAGGCUUUACCUGCUGGACCAUCCAACUGGCCCAUUUUCUGCUGUUUGAGACAGAGGCUCCCGCAGCCCUGGCUGACUGGCCUCUGACAUUGAGAGUGGACUUGAACUCCUGAUCCCCUGUGGCCUUUCUGUCUGUGCCCUUCCCUUUGGUUAUUGAACUUUUAAAACAAUGGACCCCAUGAAAUCAGAGGUCUCCCAGGGGGAAGGCUGAGGUCCUGGGGCAGGCAGUGGAAAUGCUCUCUGUAGGAGAGCCAGCUUGUCACACAGCCUGGCAGGAACAACAAUGAGGGCCAGUUGUGACCACUUGGUUCUGGGAAUUUAUUUCCAUUUACUUGUUUAUUUGCUCAUUCCUCAGUUCCUUCAUUCAUCGAGAUCAAGGACGACCUGCUUCCCUCACACCCUGUGGGGCCUGCGGACGGAAUUCAGGUCUUCAGGCCUGGCAGCAAGAGCCUGAGCCCCUGACCAGCCCCUGCUGCGUGUUAUACUGAAGGCAGAAUCUCAGGGUUCCCCACUUUGGUUUCAUUCCCUGGACUUAAGGGAAUGUCUUGACGAGAUGGGACCACACUCCAGCUACUGAUACAGAAUGUGAAGAUUCCUGAGCAAGACCAAGUACUGCUCUGUGGCUGUGGCCCAGUGGGUAGCACACACUCCCAGCAUGCACCAGGCCCUGGGCUCCAUCCCAACAUGAGCCAGGUGGCACACCCAUGUCAUCCAAGCAAGGGAAAUGGAGGCAGAAGGAUCACGUGUUCAAAGUGAUCCAUGACUAUGUGGCAUACUAAGGGCUAGCCUGAGCUACAUGAGAAUGUUUGAAAAACUUAGUCAUAACCAGCAUGCUCAGUGUGACCAGGCCUCACCCAGGAAGAAUACUGAAGUAAAUUUACAGGUACCAUUGUCUUGUGUUUGAUGUUGUACUGGGUUCCAAGAAAGGUGACAGAAACCCAAGAGGUCAGUUUGUGAGCCAGGACUGACCGGUUCUCUGACCUUGGGAAGAAUUAGGACCUGACCUAGGUAGUUCAGUUGACAUGACAAAGAAAGUUCCUCCCGUCUUCAGCCUCACAAAAGAGGCCACCUACAGAAGUCAGGCCAGUCAAGCCCAGAUUUUUCUAUUGUUUGUUUCUAGUUGCAAAGAGGGUAACUUUGAAAUGUCUAAUUUGCAUGAUUUCCCUUAAAAAAAAAAAAACGAGUAUAGCGGGAGGGUGUGGUACCCAUGAUCCUCCAGUGUCAGCCUCCUGACUCCCUGCUUUCCUACCCCACAAACACCAUUUGUUUCUUCUUUCAGCCUUUAAAGCAUUUUCUGUCUGUAGGCUGUCACCCCAGCCCUUCAGAGGUAGAAAAUCCAGAGUUCGAAGUCAUCCACACUGCCUGGGACACUUAAGACGCUGCCUCAAAACCUAAAAAAAAAAAGAAAACAAACAUCCAUAAAAACAUACAACCAACUUUGCUGGAGGAUGUGCGUGCAUGUCAAGGACCGUGGUGUACGUGUGGAGGUCAGAGGACAACUUGCAGGAGUCAGCCCCUUCCGUCACUCGGGCUCCAAGGACAGAACUCUGGUCCUCAGCUGGCAGCAAUCACCUUGGUCCACUCUCAUCUCACUGGCCAGCGAGACUUCUUUAGAAACAGAGUCUCACUGCACAUCCCCGGACGGCCUGAGCCUCACUGCACAUCCCUGGACGGCCUGAGUCUCGCUGCACAUCCCCGGACGGCCUGAGUCUGCCUGUCUCUGUCUCCCUUGUGCUGGGACUGUCCAUCAGCCAGAAACAAAGCAAAGCCCACCGUACAGAACCACGCAGAGUCCACACAGCACAGUGCUGCCCCAUCGUGGAAUUUCUAUGGAAUAAACGAGAUAACGAUCA